CUGACACUUACACAUGUGUCCACGCUGUUGUGAGUCAUGGGGAAAAAUGGAGGAGCAAAAUGACCAAGUGGCAGGGUCUGUAAGAGUCUCUCACUGUAGGGAUGGGCUGCCCUGAGGAGACACUGCCCAGGCCUGGGUGCCCCGGGCCAAAGUCCUGACCCUUGCAGGGCUGUGUCCUGUGGAUGACAUGUGGCACUGGACUGCUCACUGACAGCACUGUUCACAAUAGCAAACACGGC
rnacentral:lncRNA from 10 species